AUUGAACGCUGGCGGCAUGCCUAACACAUGCAAGUCGAGCGGAGCGGCUGACUGGUGAGUAAUGCCUAGUAAUCUGCCUGGUAGUGGGGGAUAACGUCCGGACACUGGCGUUAAUAUCGCAUACUAUUAGAUUAGCCUAGGUCGGAUUAGCUAGUUGGUAGGGUAAAGGCUUACCAAGGCGACGAUCCGUAACUGGUCUGAGCGGAUGACCAGUCACAUUGGAACGGAGACACGGUCCAAACUCCUACGGGAGGCAGCAGUGGGGAAUAUUGGACAAUGGGCGAAAGCCUGAUCAAGCAAUGCCGCGUGAGUGAAGAAGGUUUUCGGAUUGUAAAGCUCUGUAAGUUGGGAGGCGUUACUCAAAGAGUAAGCAACGGCUAACUUCGUGCCAGCAGCCGCGGUAAUAC
rnacentral:rRNA from 1 species